rnacentral:rRNA from 1 species
AGUGGCGAACGGGUGAGGAUCACGUGAGAAACCUGCCCCAGACUUUGGGAUAACAAUUGGAAACGAUUGCUAAUACCGAAUGACGUCGGAGAACCGCAUGGUUCACUGACGAAAGGAAAUCCGGUUUGGGAGGGUCUCGCGGCCUAUCAGCUUGUUGGUGGGGUAAUGGCCUACCAAGGCAACGACGGGUAGCUGGUCUGAGAGGAUGAUCAGCCACACUGGGACUGAGACACGGCCCAGACUCCUACGGGAGGCAGCAGUGGGGAAUCUUGCGCAAUGGGCGAAAGCCUGACGCAGCAACGCCGCGUGCGGGAUGAAGGCCUUCGGGCUGUAAACCGCUUUCAGCAGGAACGAAAAUGACGGUACCUGCAGAAGAAGGAGCGGCCAACUACGUGCCAGCAGCCGCGGUGACACGUAGGCUCCAAGCGUUGUCCGGAUUUAUUGGGCGUAAAGAGCUCGUAGGCGGUUUAGUAAGUCGGGUGUUAAAACUCUGGGCUCAACCCGGAGAGGCCAUCCGAUACUGCUGUGACUUGAGUUCAGGAGGGGAGCGGGGAAUUCCUAGUGUAGCGGUGAAAUGCGCAGAUAUUAGGAGGAACACCGGUGGCGAAGGCGCCGCUCUGGACUGAAACUGACGCUGAGGAGCGAAAGCAUGGGUAGCAAACAGGAUUAGAUACCCUGGUAGUCCAUGCCGUAAACGGUGGGCACUAGG